AUUCAUACUUGACAGACGUCGAAGUUCUUCGCGAUACAGUUCAACUUUCAACUACCAUGAAAAAUUCGUAUAAGGCUUUCAAUCAGUCAUCACGGUGCCUAGUUCAUCGCAGUACUCAUUCAACUUCCAACCACGAAGGGCAGGAGUUACAUGGCAUCGCACGAUUCGUUUACAGGUAUGAAUUAUAAGUAUCAGUGUGAUAUAAGUCAGAGUAUAUUAUAAAAAUAUAUUCAAUGUAAUAUAUUAAUUCGUCACAUU
rnacentral:misc_RNA from 1 species